rnacentral:rRNA from 1 species
UACGGGGGGGGGCAAGCGUUUGUUCGGAAUUACUGGGCGUAAAGGGCUCGUAGGUGGCCAACUAAGUCAUGCGUGAAAUCCCUCGGCUUAACCGGGGAACUGCGUCUGAUACUGGAUGGCUUGAGUUUGGGAGAGGGAUGCGGAAUUCCAGGUGUAGCGGUGAAAUGCGUAGAUAUCUGGAGGAACACCGGUGGCGAAGGCGGCUCACUGGCCCGGUACUGACGCUGAGGUGCGAAAGCGUGGGGGAGCAAACAGGG